rnacentral:SRP_RNA from 1 species
GUGACAGAUGAUUAUGAACCCCGUCAGGUCCGGGAGGAAGCAGCGGUAAAUAAUUCAAUCUGCAUCACGAAGCAAUCUGGCCUAAU